rnacentral:snRNA from 1 species
AUUNCUUCUUGGUCUUUUAGCUAAGAUCCAGUGCAGUAUCUGUUCUCAACAGUUUAACAACUGAUAUGUCCUCUAACUGAGGAAUAUAUUUAAGUGGAUUUUUGGAACAGAAAGAUGAAAUAGAAGCUCUCUCCAGCCACUGCACACACUGACAGGUAUUGUACUACCUCUGAGAAUAGGGCACCCCCU